UACGGGGGGGGCAAGCGUUGUUCGGAAUUACUGGGCGUAAAGGGUUCGUAGGUGGCCUGCUAAGUCAGACGUGAAAUCCCUCAGCUUAACUGGGGAACUGCGUCUGAGACUGGCGGGCUUGAGUGCAGGAGAGGAACGCGGAAUUCCAGGUGUAGCGGUGAAAUGCGUAGAUAUCUGGAGGAACACCGGUGGCGAAGGCGGCGUUCUGGACUGUUACUGACACUGAGGAACGAAAGCCAGGGGAGCAAACGGG
rnacentral:rRNA from 1 species